GACGAACCGAGCGAACGUUGUUCGGAUUUACUGGGCGUAAAGGGCGCGUAGGCGGCGCAACAAGUCACUUGUGAAAUCUCCGGGCUUAACCCGGAGCGGUCAAGUGAUACUGUCGUGCUAGAGUGCGGAAGGGGCUACUGGAAUUCUCGGUGUAGCGGUGAAAUGCGUAGAUAUCGAGAGGAACACCUGCGGCGAAGGCGGGUUGCUGGGCUGACACUGACGCUGGAGGCGCGAAAGCUAGGGGAGCGAACGGG
rnacentral:rRNA from 1 species